GACGAACGCUGGCGGCGUGCUUAACACAUGCAAGUCGUACGGUAAGACCCUUUCGGGGGUACACGAGUGGCGAACGGGUGAGUAACACGUGAGUAACCUGCCCACAACUUUGGGAUAACGCUAGGAAACUGGUGCUAAUACUGGAUAUGUGCUCCUGCUGCAUGGUGGGGGUUGGAAAGCUCCGGCGGUUGUGGAUGGACUCGCGGCCUAUCAGCUUGUUGGUGGGGUAGUGGCCUACCAAGGCGGCGACGGGUAGCCGGCCUGAGAGGGUGACCGGCCACAUUGGGACUGAGAUACGGCCCAGACUCCGACGGGAGGCAGCAGUGGGGAAUAUUGCACAAUGGGCGCAAGCCUGAUGCAGCAACGCCGCGUGCGGGAUGACGGCCUUCGGGUUGUAAACCGCUUUCAGCAGGGACGAAGCUUUUUGUGACGGUACCUGCAGAAGAAGCACCGGCUAACUACGUG
rnacentral:rRNA from 1 species